rnacentral:rRNA from 1 species
CGCCGCGUGAGGGACGAAGGCCUUCGGGUUGUAAACCUCUUUUAGCAGGGAAGAAGCGCAAGUGACGGUACCUGCAGAAAAAGCACCGGCUAACUACGUGCCAGCAGCCGCGGUAAUACGUAGCGUGCAAGCGUUGUCCGGAAUUAUUGGGCGUAAAGAGCUCGUAGGCGGUUUGUCGCGUCUGCUGUGAAAAUCCGAGGCUCAACCUCGGACCUGCAGUGGGUACGGGCAAACUAGAGUGCGGUAGGGGAGAUUGGAAUUCCUGGUGUAGCGGUGGAAUGCGCAGAUAUCAGGAGGAACACCAAUGGCGAAGGCAGAUCUCUGGGCCGUAACUGACGCUGAGGAGCGAAAGCGUGGGGAGCGAACAGGAUUAGAUACCCUGGUAGUCCACGCCGUAAACGGUGGGAACUAGAUGUGGGGUCCGUUCCACGGAUUCCGUGUCGCAGCUAACGCAUUAAGUUCCCCGCCUGGGGAGUACGGCCGCAAGGCUAAAACUCAAAGGAAUUGACGGGGGCCCGCACAAGCGGCGGAGCAUGCGGAUUAAUUCGAUGCAACGCGAAGAACCUUACCAAGGCUUGACAUAUAGAGGAAAGGUGCAGAAAUGUACCCCCCGCAAGGUCUCUAUACAGGUGGUGCAUGGUUGUCGUCAGCUCGUGUCGUGAGAUGUUGGG